UCUCGGCAAAUUAUCCUCAUAAGCUAGACGACAUGAGGAGCCGUCUAAAGGACGGUGGCACAGAAUCGGAACCCCCGACUGUUUACUUAAAACACAGAUAUCUGCGAUGAUUAAAUUAUUUGUAUAGAUGUCGAAUUUUGCCCAAUGCCAUUAAUAUAAAGAAGGUGAGUUUAAUUUACCGACUGAAAAUCUGGUCAAUGGCGGUCUUAACUAUAAGGAUCCAAAGGUAGCAAAAUUCAUUGUCCGCUAAAUACGGUCCUGCAUGAAUAAAGUAACGAUGGGUUCACUGUCUCUACAAGUAUCUCAGUGAAAUUGAAUUAGCCGUGCAGAUGCGGUUUGCUUAUGGUUAGACGGGAAGACCCUAUGCAGCUUCUACUGA
rnacentral:rRNA from 1 species